UUUCUCUCUCUCCCUCUCCCUUCCCUCUGAAAUCAUAGAUAGAUGAUAGAUAGAUAGAUAGAUAGAUAGAUAGAUUUUUUUUUUAAAGAAACCAUAUCAUAAAGGUCUAAAUCUUCAGCUUUCUUAAGCUUCCCCAGUCCCCACCUCAUUUUCCUACCAUUUGCUGCACUGACCUAGAAAUACUGCUUCAUUUCUCAAACUGAUGCAUAGAAUGGGGAUGAAGUCAAGAUGGGCUCUUUCUACAAGCUUGAUGGUUUGCCCGAAAAGAGAACAGAGGUUUUUGUGUGGAGUUUUCUCCUUAAAAUGACUUCCCUCACAAUUCCUACUGAGCUGUGAUAAACAAAAAUAGAUGUCAUUGGAGUUCUUGAAUGAGAAGGGAUGAUUUUUGUGUAUAAAAAGGUGAAAGCAAGGUUUUUCUGAGGACAAUAUCAAGCACAGGCAGCCUGCAGGACCAGAAGCUACUACUGGAUGAGCAAGUGCAGAUAGAUGUCUACGACCUCUCUCAUGUUUGGAGUGAAUUUGGUUUACCCUGAGAGUCACCCCUCAAGUGGUCACAGCAACAUUUGAAGCCACUGUUAACCUGCUGCUACAAUGGAAGAACCACAACAUCAAUUAUAGCCGCAUGCAUUUAAGUGCUUUUACUGACCAAAAUUUCUGAAGUAAGGACAUUAAAAGGAGGAAAGCAGCCGGAAGAUUUCCAAGACAUAUUACACUUUAAAAGGAAAACAACGUACAAGGAGCAAUAUGCAGCGAGUAACCUCACUUAGGUUAAACUAAGAAACGUUUAUCUGCACAAAUAUACGGAUAUGCAUGGAAAGAGAUCUGAAAGGGCAGAAGCCAAAUGUUACAACAAUUACCCAUGGGAGAGAGAUCUAGAUGGGAGGGGCGUAAAAGAAGGAAGCCAGCAAGGAGAAGAGGCAGAAGAGACUAAAUUCUUCUAACUAUUUGCCUUUUUAAAAAAGAAUAUACAGGGUGGGGCAAAAGUGUGUUUACAGUUGUGAGUACACAAAACACAGUUUAUCCUUGCAUUAUUAUUUAUUGUAUUAUUUUCCAUAGGAACAACUGUGAGCCUACUUUUGCCCACCCUGUAUAUGCAUGUGUUACAGUAUAACACUAUAUGAGACAAUCAUCAUGUAGUUGUCAGUACUGUUCUUAGUAG